UGAGAUUAAGGGCGUGUACGAUGGCUCCU
rnacentral:piRNA from 1 species